rnacentral:rRNA from 1 species
UGGCCUCGGCCGGGCAUGCCUGUUUGAGCGCACGCACCUCUCUUGCCUCGUAACGCAGUUCCGGACUGUGUCGGGCAGUGUUGAGCGAUAUGCCGGUGUCGCCUGGCUCGCUCUGAAUGCAUGAGCAGGAUCUUUGGCUCGAAGCGACGUGAUAAGUAUCUACGUCCAAGUAGAGCUGGAAGAGCCCGCUUUCAAACGGUCCCCUUGCGGGACAAUUUCAGUGAGCACUGCAUCAAAUCAGGUAGGACUACCCGCUGAACUUAAGCAUAUCAAUAAGCGGAGGAAAAGAAACUAACAAGGAUUCCCCUAGUAACUGCGAGUGAAGCGGGAAGAGCUCAAAUUUGAAAUCUGGCUAUUGCCCGAGUUGUAACCUAGAGAAGUGUUUUCGGCCGCUGCCUCGGACAAGUCCCUUGGAACAGGGUGUCAUAGAGGGUGAGAAUCCCGUCUGCCGAGCUCCCAGCGUCUACAGAUACACUCUCGAAGAGUCGAGUUGUUUGGGAAUGCAGCUCAAAAUGGGUGGUAAACUCCAUCUAAAGCUAAAUAUUGGCGAGAGACCGAUAGCGAACAAGUACCGUGAGGGAAAGAUGAAAAGCACUUUGGAAAGAGAGUUAAACAGUACGUGAAAUUGUUGAAAGGGAAGCGCUUGGAGUCAGUCGCGUCUUCAGAGACUCAGCCGUCAAGGUGCAUUUCUCUGUCGACGGGCCAGUAUCGAUUUUGACCGCGGGACAAGGGCGUAAGGAAUGUGGCAGCUCCGGCUGUGUUAUAGCCUUGCGUCGUAUGCCGCGGUUGGGAUCGAGGAUCGCCUUGCAGGAUAC